AGCAUACUUUAUUUAUAAUGCAUGCUUGUGGGUCUUCAUAAUCCUAAAAAUUCUAACACAUUUAAAUAUAUGCGACACGUAGUUCUCUUUUAAAUAAAGCUACUGAUAAGAGGCAUAUGCUGUUAGUCAAAGAUGCUUUGCGGCGAUUUUUUUCAGACCCGUUUCAAAUCAUUUAUUUAAUAAGCAUUUCUUCAGCAACUGUUUUAAGAGCUUGGGAUACAUGAGUGAACAAAAGAGUUAAAGAUAUCUGCCCCAUGGAGUUUACAUUCAAGUAAUUCUGAUUAACUCUUGCUCCCAUUUUCUUUCUUUGUUUUCUCUCUUCAUACACUGAAGAAAAUAAAUUUCCUGUGCAAGCGAAUCUGUUCUCAAACGUGGCAACAGUCUCAAACUGAAAAGCAAUGGCUCAGACCCUCCAGCUUCUCAGGGUUUGCAGCGCUGGACCAAAGAGAAGAGUCCUCCCGGGGUCCUAGAAGGGUGAGCCGCGCGUUACCAUGGAGACCGCGGAACUUGAGGGCUCUGAGGCGCGGGUGGGGUUUCUUCGACCUCACCUUGGGGGUGCCCUUUGCACUCCUUCUGUGCCGCCGCCGGGAAGGCAGGACUCGCAAGGGCGGCGGCGGAGCUGAGGCCGCGGGGCAGGUAAUUGUAUCCUGUUACCUUCCAUACAAGGAACAUUGCAAUUUCCCAAACCCGCUGUAAUUUCCCAGCUGGAGCAGGGUCAGGAAUCCUAUGUUCUCGAUCUGCAUGGAGCUGACUUAAGAGAGGCCUGUACAAGCUCCUGGGCAGGUGAGUCAUAAAGAAUCUGAGAGUUUCUACUUUCUUUUCUCUUCUUUCUUUAUCUUGGAAAUUUAACAACACAUCAUAUAGAUCAUUUCCAGCUAUGAAUCUUAAAAUCUUCCAGAAGGAAAAAUGGAAAAAAACUGAAUACCAGAGUUUCAACCUGUCAUCAUUCAAAAAGCAUAGGAUCCCUUGCAUUCAGAUUCAUUUUAUUUUUACCACUUUAGAUAAAAAUUUAUAAUCCCCAUAUACCACACUCUUAAAGCCCUUAGUCUUCCCCCAGGUCAGUUAGUCCAUUGCAAUGGGAUCUUCAACCCAGUCUUCCUUGAUGUUCUCCUGGCUUUGUUUUCAAAAAACAUAUUGAUUUACUAGACAGUAUUUCCCUGAGUGAUGUCCGAGGACCACCUGAAUCUGAAUCAGUGGGAGUGCUUAUUACAAAUAUAGAUUCCUGAGUAUCACUGAGACCUACUAAUUAAUAUCCAGGGGCAGGAUCGAAUUUGCAUUUUCACAAGCUUCCCAUGUGAUAUG
rnacentral:lncRNA from 1 species